UUUCCUUAGAAUUAUCAUCAGCCUGUAAUGCCUGAUUCAAUCAAGCGGUUUACAGUCAUUUGCAUGUCUUCUUGGGUGUGGACCUCCUAAGGCACAAUCAUCUUCAUAAAGGCUUGGGGAACUGCCUACUUUUCCAACAGGAUUUCUGUGAAGUAACUGGAUGAGAAAGGGCAACCUGAGUGUCAACAAAUGGACCAGACUCAGGAAUAACCACAAAUGAAGCUCCCUCUGAGGAACACCUGGAGAAGCUGGAUGAACUUCAUCAAGUGAGAAACCAGAAGAAUCCCGUGUCCCACGCAAGUUGCCUUGUACCACCUUUUGCUCUGCCCCAUCUCUCUCCCAAAGUCAGUACUUCCAUUUCACCCAAAACAAUAGAUUUCCCCCAUUCCCUUAACUGACUGGCCUCAAAGCCCAACUCUGUGGCCUCCUGGUGCUUGAGGUUCAAUCAGGGUUUCCUUUGGAUUGAUGUUUCAGCAUCUUAAAGUGGGAAAGAGGUAGAAUGAGCCCCUCAGCUGUAGUUUGACCUCUUUAUGUCUCCAGCUGGAGUCUGGGUAAUAGGGGGUAAGACUCGGGCAGCAGAACAACUAUAAAUCUGACUGAACUGCAGUAUGGACUGUGGU